rnacentral:rRNA from 1 species
AUUGAACGCUGGCGGCAUGCCUUACACAUGCAAGUCGAACGGCAGCGGGGGAGAAGCUUGCUUUUCCUGCCGGCGAGUGGCGAACGGGUGAGUAAUACAUCGGAACGUGCCCUGUAGUGGGGGAUAACUAGUCGAAAGAAUAGCUAAUACCGCAUCAGACCUGAGGGUGAAAGAGGGGGACGACAAGGCCUCAUGCUAUGGGAACGGGCGAUGUCUGAUUAGCUCGUUGGUGGGGUAAAGGCCUACCAAGGCGACGAUCAGUAGCUAGUCUGAGGGGACGAUCAGCCACACUGGGACUGAGACACGGCCCAGACUCCUACGGGAGGCAGCAGUGGGGAAUUUUGGACAAUGGGCGAAAGCCUGAUACAGCAAUGCCGCGUGUGUGAAGAAGGCCUUCGGGUUGUAAAGCACUUUUGUCCGGAAAGAAAUGGCUCUGGUUAAUACCCGGGGUCGAUGACGGUACCGGAAGAAUAAGGACCGGCUAACUACGUGCCAGCAGCCGCCGUAA